rnacentral:rRNA from 1 species
CAGUAGCCGCGGUAAAACGAAGGGUGCAAGCGUUACUCGGAAUUACUGGGCGUAAAGCGUGCGUAGGUGGUGGUUUAAGUCCGUUGUGAAAGCCCUGGGCUCAACCUGGGAAUUGCAGUGGAUACUGGGUCACUAGAGUGUGGUAGAGGAUAGUGGAAUUUCCGGUGUAGCAGUGAAAUGCGUAGAGAUCGGAAGGAACAUCUGUGGCGAAGGCGACUAUCUGGGCCAACACUGACACUGAGGCACGAAGGCGUGGGGAGCAAACAGGAUUAGAUACCCCUGUAGUCCCUGUCUCUUAUAC